rnacentral:rRNA from 1 species
UACGGAGGGUGCAAGCGUUAUCCGGAUUCACUGGGUUUAAAGGGUGCGUAGGAGGGCAGGUAAGUCAGUGGUGAAAUCUCCGAGCUUAACUUGGAACUGCCGUUGUAUACUAUCUGUCUUGAAUAUUGUGGAGGUGAGCGGAAUAUGCCAUGUAGCGGUGAAAUGCUUAGAUAUGACAUAGAACACCAAUUGCGAGGGCAGCUCGCUACACAUAUAUUGACUCUGAGGCACGAAAGCGUGGGGAUCAAACAGG